ACCGAAUUGUCAACACGAGUUGUUGCUGGUCCCCAAACCGGGGGCAUGUGCACACUCUGUUUACACAUCCACCCACACCUGUGCACCCUCUGUAGUUCUGUGGCCUGGGCGACUUUGUCCCCUCGCUGUGGUUCUACAUCUUUACACACACACUGCCAUAAAGUCUCAUGGAAUGUUUGCCGCGUUUAACGCAAUACAAUACAACUUUCAGCAACGGAUCUCUUGGCUCUCGCAUCGAUGAAGAACGCAGCGAAAUGCGAUAAGUAAUGUGAAUUGCAGAAUUCAGUGAAUCAUCGAAUCUUUGAACGCACCUUGCGCCCUUUGGCUAUUCUGAAGGGCAUGCCUGUUUGAGUAUCAUGAACACCUCAACUCCUCAUGGUUUGCCAUGAGGAGCUUGGACUUUGGGGGUCUUGUUGUGCUACACGUUGUGUCCCCUC
rnacentral:misc_RNA from 1 species